AAUGUAUGGCAAUAGCUGGUUGCAUUAACAAAAAGUUAGUGUAAGAUCGACUCUGUCGAAUAAAAUUCUAGAUAGAAUUAUGAUAAUGACAUUAUCUAUCUAUGUGUCUUGACCAAAUUACGUGCCAGCAGUCGCGGUAAUACGUAAAAGACUAGUGUUAUUCAUCUUUAAUAGGUUUAAAGGGUACUUAGACGGUAAAUAAAGCCCGAAUAGGGAACUAAUAUACUAGAGUUUGAUGUAAGGAAGCAUGAAAGUACUGUUGGUGUAGAGAUAAAAUUCUAUCAUACCAAAUAUGGCACAGGUUUAGGCGAAAGCAUCUUCUUAUGUAAUAACUGACGUUGAAGGACGAAGGCUUUGUGUCUCGAACAGGAUUAGAUACCCCAGUAGUCUAAGCAGACAAUGAUGAAUGUCAUAGAUUAGAUUUAAUUAAAUUUAUUCUAUAAAUGAAAGUGUAAGCAUUCCACCUCAAGAGUAAUUUGGCAACAUUGGAACUGAAAUCAUUAGACCGUUUCUGAAACCAGUAGUGAAGUAUGUUGUUUAAUUAGAAGAUACGCAAAAAACCUUACCACAAUUUGAAUUAGUAAUAUGUUUUCACAAGCGUUGCACGGCUGUCUACAGUUAAUGUCGUGAGAUUUUGGUUAGUUCCAUUAAAUUAACGC
rnacentral:rRNA from 1 species